rnacentral:lncRNA from 1 species
UGGAAGAGAUCGGUAUGCCAUUUGGAGAAGCCAGGAAACCAUUAGGGGACACUGGAUAGCCAUUGGGAACCCAAGGUUGGCUAGUAGGCACAAACUCAGCUGCAUGAGGGUUCAUUAUUCUGGGAGGACUGAAGCGAUUGCCUUCACCAUUAUGUUCGCUGUUGUGGAAGCCAGGUUUGUUACGUGGAACCCUAUUUCCAGAUCUGUUAUAGCCACCGGAAAGCCUUGGGCCGUAAGGAACCCUAGCUGUUGCUGACUGAUGAGGAGAUCUGCGGACAGGAUUAACUUGAAGCAUUGGAGGGAUAUUCACAGGAGAAGGCAGGAUUCCUCCAUGAUCUUUGAAACCUGGAACUGUAAUUGAGCCAAAAACAGGGAUUGUGGAUGGGUUAAAUGGUGGUGCAGAUGCAGAUAGCUUUUUGCU